ACGGGUGAGUAAUAUAUCGGAACGUGCCCAGUUGUGGGGGAUAACUGCUCGAAAGAGCAGCUAAUACCGCAUACGACCUGAGGGUGAAAGCGGGGGAUCGCAAGACCUCGCGCAAUUGGAGCGGCCGAUAUCAGAUUAGGUAGUUGGUGGGGUAAAGGCCUACCAAGCCUACGAUCUGUAGCUGGUCUGAGAGGACGACCAGCCACACUGGGACUGAGACACGGCCCAGACUCCUACGGGAGGCAGCAGUGGGGAAUUUUGGACAAUGGGGGCAACCCUGAUCCAGCCAUGCCGCGUGCGGGAAGAAGGCCUUCGGGUUGUAAACCGCUUUUGUCAGGGAAGAAAAGACUCCUACUAAUACUGGGGGUUCAUGACGGUACCUGAAGAAUAAGCACCGGCUAACUACGUGCCAGCAGCCGCGGUAAUACGUAGGGUGCAAGCGUUAAUCGGAAUUACUGGGCGUAAAGCGUGCGCAGGCGGUUAUGCAAGACAGAUGUGAAAUCCCCGGGCUCAACCUGGGAACUGCAUUUGUGACUGCAUGGCUAGAGUACGGUAGAGGGGGAUGGAAUUCCGCGUGUAGCAGU
rnacentral:rRNA from 1 species